UAGACAUCUCUUUAACAAACUGACUUCAAUUUUUGGGGGUGCAUACCCAAAAGUGAAAUUUUCGGAUGAUAUGGUAAUUCUUGUUUUUGAGGAACCUCCACCAGUUUUUUACAAUUGUUUUUAUUUUUUGCAGAUGGAAAAUUCUUAAAUGUUUUAAAUGAAGGCUGAAGAGAACCAGUAAAGAAAGAUUUAAAGUAUGAAGGAGCAAUAAUAUGCCCCCACCAAUGUCUUUUCCUACUAAACUCAUCAAAACAAGUCACAGAGAAACAAUGGGCAAAAUGUAUUCACUUUUUAAAAAUCUUCACUUAAUACAUGGUUUUGUUGCAGUGUUCUUUUAUAUAGGAAGUCAAAUUUGUAACUUUUAAAAAUAAAUGAGAUUUUUGUUUAUUUGUUGUCUCGAAAACGUUUACAAAACUCACUGAAAGCAUAAACAAAGAUUUUUUUUGUACAUUUAAAAUAAUUUUAGAAAAACUAUCACAUAUGACUAGGACAUACAUUUACUAUGAAUCACAGCUUAUAUGUACAGCAAAUGUACAAUCCUUUUAAUUUGUCUUCAGUUAAUCU
rnacentral:lncRNA from 1 species